rnacentral:rRNA from 1 species
AUUGAACGCUGGCGGCAUGCCUUACACAUGCAAGUCGAACGGCAGCGGGGGAGAAGCUUGCUUUUCCUGCCGGCGAGUGGCGAACGGGUGAGUAAUACAUCGGAACGUGCCCUGUAGAGGGGGAUAACUAGUCGAAAGAUUAGCUAAUACCGCAUACGACCUGAGGGUGAAAGUGGGGGACCGCAAGGCCUCAUGCUAUAGGAGCGGCCGAUGUCGGAUUAGCUAGUUGGUGGGGUAAAGGCCUACCAAGGCGACGAUCAGUAGCUGGUCUGAGAGGACGAUCGGCCACACUGGGACUGAGACACGGCCCAGACUCCUACGGGAGGCAGCAGUGGGGAAUUUUGGACAAUGGGCGAAAGCCUGAUCCAGCAAUGCCGCGUGUGUGAAGAGGCCCUUCGGGUUGUAAAGCAUUUUUGUCCGGAAAGAAAUGGCUCUGGUUAAUACCUGGGGUCGAUGACGGUACCGGAAGAAUAAGGGCCGGCUAACUACGUGCCAGCAGCCGCAGUAA